rnacentral:antisense_RNA from 1 species
ACAAGUUUGGGUGACUGUUCCCGCGAAGUUCAGUUACCUCGGUUCAAAAUGUUUACUAGGCAUUGAGAACCUUCGAAAAAACCGCCUGCCAGGGCGGUUUUUUCGUUU